CGAGCGGCCGGCGGGGAAACUGGCGCGUGAGUGGAAGCUUGCUCGCUCAUGGGGUCUCGUCGUGCAGCUGCGUGGGCCUUGGGCUGGAAAACGCAGAUUCCUGGUUCCUGCGUUUUUCAAACAAGCAUCUCUGGUGGUGCUGGUGCAGACGGCCAGCGAACUCUGGUUUGAAAAACGGGGCCCUGCCGAAGGCACCCUUCACAGGUGACACCGAGCUUAGAAGUGCAAAGUCCCUUUUCCGGGUUCGCAUCUGGGACAUACUAGCGAUUUUCGAACUCAAGUGUCUCCUUCCGGAGCCAGAAACAUGCAGUUACACUGCGUAGGCCUCGGCUAAAGUUACUCUGAAUUACCUAAAGCCACACUGGGAAGAAAACAGACGCUUGGGAUCCCGAGAAGUGUACCUGGUUAGUGCUUACUGCAUACCUUCCCAGUCUCAUUAUUUCCUGAGUUCUGUGCAUCCCCAUUUCAAAAGCUUCCCAGGCUCCCCUCCAUAUCUCUUCUCUGCUGCCAAAGCCAAGGACAAGGGAGACCAGAUGGAGACCAAGGGUUUCACAAGAAACUGAUCUUUACUCAACAAAGUUCUACACAAGUGGAAUCUCACGCCACCUCGGCGCCAAUCCCCAGCACAGCACGGUAACAAAUGGACAGACCCUGGAGCCCGCAGGAGGAAGAGGAGGGGGAAGGAGGGACAUUGGCAUGAGGGGGACUGCAGAUCGAGGCCAGUCAGGGUCCGCAGCCCUGGGCAGGGGAGAAGGUUGAGAAGCUGAAACUUCGUUGUGCAAAAAUCAACCAAAAAUAAAUUAAAAAAUUAAAUAGUUUUCUUAAAAAAAAAAAAA